CGCAUCUGUGCAUGCAGCAUAUCAAUAAGCGGAGGAAAAGAAACUAACAAGGAUUCCCCUAGUAACGGCGAGUGAAGCGGGAAGAGCUCAAAUUUGAAAUCUUAAAGGGUUUCCCUUUACGAAUUGUAGUUUAAAGAAGUGUUUUCUGUUGAGGUUUUGGUAAAAGUUCUUUGGAAUAGGACAUCAUAGAGGGUGAGAAUCCCGUAUUUGACCGUUACUUUCAGCUGUGUGAUACACUUUCAAAGAGUCGGAUUGUUUGGGAAUGCAGUCCAAGAUGGGUGGUAAAUUUCAUCUAAAGCUAAAUAUUGGCGAGAGACCGAUAGCGAACAAGUACCGUGAGGGAAAGAUGAAAAGAACUUUGAAAAGAGAGUUAAGCAGUACGUGAAAUUGUCAAAAGGGAAGCGUUUGACACCAGUGUUGUUUUUCUGAAAAUCAAUUAAAGAACUGUUUAUGCUAAGUUGUUUAGACUUUAUCAGCUAACUGUUUAGUUUUGAGCUUUUCUUUAAUGCACUUUUCAGUUAACAAGUCAACAUCAAUUUCUUUUGCUGUAAAAAAGCUUGAGGAAGGUGGCUUGAGAUUCGUCUUAAGUGUUUAUAGCCUCUUGCCUAUGCAGUCGGAGAGAUUGAGGUCUGCAGCGUAGAUCCUUCGGGGCUAAAUGCAUUUGUGCUAAGUUAUAGCAUUUUAUAGACAACUUGUUGACUAUGAUUUGUCUUGUAGCUUACUCGCUUAUGUUAUUUUACCUACGCUUAGGAUGUUGACUGAUAUGUAGUCGU
rnacentral:rRNA from 1 species